AGUACGCACGCAAGUGUGAAACUCAAAGGAAUUGACGGGGGCCCGCACAAGCGGUGGAGUAUGUGGUUUAAUUCGAUGCAACGCGAAGAACCUUACCAGGGUUUGACAUCCUGCGAAUCUCUUGGAAACUUGAGAGUGCCUUCGGGAACGCAGUGACAGGUGGUGCAUGGCUGUCGUCAGCUCGUGUCGUGAGAUGUUGGGUUAAGUCCCGCAACGAGCGCAACCCACGUCUUUAGUUGCCAGCAUUUAGUUGGGCACUCUAGAGAGACCGCCGGUGAUAAACCGGAGGAAGGUGUGGAUGACGUCAAGUCAUCAUGCCCCUUACAUCCUGGGCUACACACGUACUACAAUGCUACGGACAAAGGGCAGCAAGUUCGCGAGGACAAGCAAAUCCCAUAAACCGUAGCUCAGUUCAGAUCGUAGGCUGCAACUCGCCUACGUGAAGGAGGAAUCGCUAGUAAUCGCAGGUCAGCAUACUGCGGUGAAUACGUUCCCGGGCCUUGUACACACCGCCCGUCACACCAUGGAAGUUGGCCACGCCCGAAGCCGUUACUCCAACCCUUGUGGAGGAGGACGUCGAAGGUGAGGCUGAUGACUGGGGUGAAGUCGUAACAAGGUAACC
rnacentral:rRNA from 1 species